AACGCGAAGAACCUUACCCAGAUUUGACAUGCAGAGGACGGUACCAGAGAUGGUACUUCUCGUAAGAGCUUCUGCACAGGUGCUGCAUGGCUGUCGUCAGCUCGUGCCGUGAGGUGUUGGGUUAAGUCCCGCAACGAGCGCAACCCUUAUCACUAGUUGCCAACACGUAAAGGUGGGAACUCUAGUGAGACUGCCUGGGUUAACCAGGAGGAAGGUGAGGAUGAUGUCAAGUCCGCAUGGCCCUUAUAUCUGGGGCUACACACGUGCUACAAUGGUCAGUACAGAAGGUAGCGAAGCCGCGAGGCGGAGCAAAUCCCUAAAGCUGAUCUCAGUUCAGAUUGUAGUCUGCAACUCGGCUACAUGAAGUUGGAAUUGCUAGUAAUGGCGUGUCAGCAACAGCGCCGUGAAUACGUUCCCGGGCCUUGUACACACCGUACGUC
rnacentral:rRNA from 1 species